GACGAACGCUGGCGGCGUGCCUAACACAUGCAAGUCGAGCGGAGUCGAUUGACGGAAGCCUUCGGGCGGAAGAUGGUUGACUUAGCGGCGGAUGGGUGAGUAACGCGUGGGCAACCUGCCUCGAAGACCGGGAUAACAGCCCGAAAGGGCUGCUAAUACCGGAUGUGGUCAAGGAUCCGCAUGGAUUUUUGAUUAAAGGGGAAACCCGUUUCGAGAUGGGCCCGCGUCCUAUCAGCUAGUUGGUGAGGUAAAAGCUCACCAAGGCGACGACGGGUAGCCAGCCUGAGAGGGUGACCGGCCACACUGGAACUGAGACACGGUCCAGACUCCUACGGGGGCAGCAGUGGGGAAUCUUCCACAAUGGGCGAAAGCCUGAUGGAGCGACGCCGCGUGAGCGAAGAAGGCCUUCGGGUUGUAAAGCUCUGUCUGGAGGGACGAAGGAAGUGACGGUACCUCCGGAGGAAGCCACGGCUAACUACGUG
rnacentral:rRNA from 1 species